GCCACAUGGACGCGGGCUUCAUCUCCUCCACUGCUCCAUCCAAUGUCUAAAAAAUGUCUAUCUAGUUUAGCUCGGCGAGGCAAUGGCAACGCAGCGUCCGCUAUCCAGUGGCCUCCACGACGCGCUCGCUCUCACCACAGCUCCUCCUCCACCACGCCUGGCCAUGCUCGCUCCGCCCAACUCGCAGAUGCUCACCUCCUCGCUCCCGCCUCCCACCCUCCCGGCCCCAGGCUCCAAGCCUGCCACCAAGCCCAAACCCGCCGCGGCCGCCUCCGUCUCCGCCGCGGCCACGGCCCCCCUCGACGCAGGCGGGAGCGGCCGCCUGUCCGCGCUCAUCCGCUCCCUCUGCGCCGCCGGCCGCACCGCCGACGCCGCGCGCGCGCUGGACACGGCCGGCGACGCGGCCGGCAUCGUCGCCUACAACGCCAUGGUCGCCGGGUACUGCCGCGCCGGCCAGGUCGCCGCCGCGCGCCGCCUCGCGGCCGCCGUCCCGGUCCCGCCCAACGCCUACACCUACUUCCCCAUCGUGCGCGGCCUCUGCGCGCGGGGACUGAUCACCGACGCCCUCACGGUGCUCGACGAAAUGUCCCUCAGGGGCUGCGCGGCCACCCCGCCCAUGUCCCACGUCAUCCUGGAGGCCGCGUGCAGGGGCGGCGGGUUCAGGAGCGCCGUGAGGGCUCUCGAGGCGCUGCAUGCCAGGGGCUGCACGCUGGACUCCGGCAACUGCAACCUGGUCGUCAGCGCCAUCUGCGAGCAAGGGUGCGUGGACGAGGGAGUGGAGCUGCUGAGGAAGCUGCCCUCCUUUGGCUGCGAGCCGGACAUUGUUAGCUAUAACGCGGUGCUCAAGGGCCUGUGUAUGGCCAAGAGAUGGGAGGACGUGGAGGAGCUCAUGCACGAGAUGGUUAGGGUGGAUUGCCCGCCCAAUGUCGCCACUUUCAAUACCCUCAUUGCUUAUUUGUGCAGGAACGGGUUGUAUGAGCAGGUGCAUGAGGCCCUUUCGCAGAUGUCACAGCAUGGGUGCACACCGGACUUAAGGAUGUACGCGACCAUCAUCGACGGGAUUUGCAAGGACGGGCAUCACGAGGUUGCAAACGAUAUUUUGAGCAGGAUGCCUUCUUAUGGUCUCAAGCCCAAUGUUGUCUGCUACAACACUGUCUUGAAGGGUCUAUGCAGUGCUGAGCGGUGGGAGGAAGCUGAGGACUUGCUUGCUGAGAUGUUUCAGAAGGAUUGCCCCCUUGAUGACGUGACAUUCAAUAUACUCGUCGAUUUCUUCUGCCAAAAUGGGUUGGUCGACAGGGCAAUUGAACUUCUUGAGCAGAUGUUGGAGUACGGUUGCAUGCCGGAUGUCAUCACAUACACUACGGUAAUCAAUGGCUUUUGCAAAGAAGGGCUUGUUGACGAAGCUGUCAUGCUUUUAAAAAGUAUGUCAACCUGUGGAUGCAAGCCGAAUACCAUAAGCUAUACUAUUGUGUUGAAAGGUUUGUGCAGAGCCGAGCGGUGGGUAGAUGCCGAGGAGCUCAUCUCGCAUAUGAUUCAACAAGGCUGUCUUCCGAAUCCUGUUACAUUCAACACGCUCAUCAAUUUUCUGUGCAAAAAGGGAUUGGUGGAGCAGGCAAUUGAACUUCUUAAGCAGAUGUUAGUGAAUGGGUGCAGUCCUGACCUUAUUAGCUACAGCACAGUGAUUGAUGGACUUGGUAAAGCUGGUAAGACGGAGGAAGCAUUGGAGCUGCUAAAUGUUAUGAUCAGCAAAGGGAUCACCCCAAAUGCGGUAAUUUAUUCAUCAAUGGCAUCUGCUCUGUCUAGAGAAGGUAGAACCGACAAGGUUAUUCAGAUGUUUGACAGGAUCCAAGAUGCCACAGUGAGGUCUGAUGCAGUGCUUUACAAUGCUGUCAUUUCUUCGCUUUGCAAAAGAUGGGAAACUGAUCGUGCCAUUGAUUUUUUUGCCUACAUGGUGUCAAGUGGGUGCAUGCCCAACGAAUCAACCUACACUAUACUUAUUAGAGGUUUAGCUAGUGAAGGAUUGGUAAGGGAGGCACAAGAUUUGUUGAGUGAACUGUGCUCAAGAAGAGCUGUAAGAAAGCACUUGGUGAGACAUUUUGGUAUUGUUUGAACCAACAGCCCUUACCGCCAGAUGUUGUUGGAAGGAGGAGAUUAUUGUGGUGGCGUUGGCAGGAUGGAUUUGCCUACUUGAAGCUUCAGCAGCUCAUGAAGAUUGUUUAAUUUCAGCCUCCUUUCGGCGCAUUAACAUCUACGGGGCAACAUAAACCCUUCAUGGGAGCUCAGUUGUAAUCUCUACCGGUUCAUAAAUUUGCCUUGCUGAUAGAUUUAGGAGAACAUUGUGGAAGGGACACUGUAAAGUUAUUACGUUGAGUUGGUUGUAACC